rnacentral:rRNA from 1 species
UACCCCGGGGAUAACAGGCUUAUCUCCCCCAAGAGUUCACAUCGACGGGGAGGUUUGGCACCUCGAUGUCGGCUCAUCGCAUCCUGGGGCUGUAGUCGGUCCCAAGGGUUGGGCUGUUCGCCCAUUAAAGCGGUACGCGAGCUGGGUUCAGAACGUCGUGAGACAGUUCGGUCCCUAUCCGUCGUGGGCGUAGGAAAUUUGAGAGGAGCUGUCCUUAGUACGAGAGGACCGGGAUGGACAUACCUCUGGUGUACCAGUUGUCGUGCCAACGGCAUAGCUGGGUAGCUAUGUGUGGACGGGAUAAGUGCUGAAAGCAUCUAAGCAUGAAGCCCCCCUCAAGAUGAGAUUUCCCAACUUCGGUUAUAAGAUCCCUCAAAGAUGAUGAGGUUAAUAGGUUCGAGGUGGAAGCAUGGUGACAUGUGGAGCUGACGAAUACUAAUCGAUCGAAGACUUAAUCAAAA